rnacentral:rRNA from 1 species
UCCGUAGGUGAACCUGCGGAAGGAUCAUUACAGAGUACUGCCAUAACUGGUAGAUCUCCCACCCUUGUGUAUUAUACUAUGUUGCUUUGGCGGGCCGCGUUCUACGCCUCGGCGCCUUCGGGCCUGAGUGUGCCCGCCAGAGGUAUAUCAAACUCUGUUAUUAAUAUCGUCUGAGUACUAACUAUAUAAUAGUUAAAACUUUCAACAACGGAUCUCUUGGUUCUGGCAUCGAUGAAGAACGCAGCGAAAUGCGAUAAGUAAUGUGAAUUGCAGAAUUCAGUGAAUCAUCGAAUCUUUGAACGCACAUUGCGCCCCUUGGUAUUCCAGGGGGCAUGCCUGUUCGAGCGUCAUUUCAACCCUCAAGCCUAGCUUGGUAUUGGGCUUCGUCGGUAACACGGCGGGCCUCAAAAUUAUAGGCGGUGCAUUAGGCUCUGAGCGCAGUAACAAACCUCGCUACGGACGCUGAAGUGUAUGACCUUAACUCAUCCCCUCGGGGUAUUUUAUCAUGGUUGACCUCGGAUCAGGUAGGGAUACCCGCUGAACUUAAGCAUAUCAAUAAGCGGAGGA